GGGAAGGUGGCUCAGUGGUAGAGCGCUUGCUUUAAAUGCAUGAGGUCCUGAGUUUGAUUCCUCAGCCACCA
rfam:Dipodomys ordii contig_52482, whole genome shotgun sequence.